rnacentral:rRNA from 1 species
CCUACGGGACGCAGCAGUGGGGAAUAUUGCACAAUGGCCGCAAGCCUGAUGCAGCCAUGCCGCGUGUAUGAAGAAGGCCUUCGGGUUGUAAAGUACUUUCAGCGGGGAGGAAGGUGUUGUGGUUAAUAACCGCAGCAAUUGACGUUACCCGCAGAAGAAGCACCGGCUAACUCCGUGCCAGCAGCCGCGGUAAUACGGAGGGUGCAAGCGUUAAUCGGAAUUACUGGGCGUAAAGCGCACGCAGGCGGUCUGUCAAGUCGGAUGUGAAAUCCCCGGGCUCAACCUCGGAAUUGCAUUUGAAACUGGCAGGCUAGAGUCUUGUAGAGGGGGGUAGAAUUUCAGGUGUAGCGGUGAAAUGCGUAGAGAUCUGAAGGAAUACCAGUGGCGAAGGCGGCCCCCUGGACAAGGACUGACGCUCAGAUGCGAAAGCGUGGGGAGCAAACAGGAUUAGAUACCCGUGUAGUC